rnacentral:lncRNA from 1 species
GCGGAAACGGCCGCGUGGGAACACUGCGCCGCUACUUUACCUUUCCCCAUCUUCAGAUCGUUGCGGACGAUCAGCACCAUCUUGAACUCUCCCGACUCCCCCAUGACGUUGGCUUCGGUCCCACAGCUGCCGGCGGACGCCGCCAUGGCGCGGUGCUGCCUCAGGAACCGCCCGCGGAUGCCCCAUCCCAGGCACACACCGCAGGCGACCCCCGCCAGGAUGCUGAGGAAGCCGGGCUUGGAGAGGUAAUCCAUGGCGGCUUUAGGAGAGGGGCUGCCGCCUCCGCGCGCCCACCACGCUGCUGCCGCCCCGCUGCCGCCCGGAGGUGACGCCACGGCCGCGCGCCAACGACGACCAACACACCUCCCGCCUCCGCU